GGAGACGUAGCACAGCGGUAGUGCAUUCCCUUGACAUGGGAAAGGUCACAGGUUCGAUCCCUGUCGUCUCCA
rnacentral:tRNA from 7 species